AUAUAUAUAUGUAUGUAUGUAUGUGUGUGUGUGUGUGUGUGUAUGCAUAUAUAUCAUAUACUUUUUUGUGAAAUCUGAUGUGUCCAUGUGUAACAUAACUACUGCUUUGGUUCAACUCCCCCCUCUCUCUUCAGUAUGUAUGGACACAGAAGACAAGAACAAUAAUAUGAAUGUGUUCAGUCUGUCUUCCCCUCCCUCUUUGUUUCUCUGUCUUUUUCUGUAUUUAUAAUGCUUGGUACAAGCAAAUACAUGUGCUUACAGGUACAUAUUUAUGAAUAUGACAGCAGUAUAAAAUGACUACCUGUCUGUCUGUAUGUAUGUAUUUAUGUAUGUAUAUGUAUGUGUGUGUACAUGUAUAUGCAUGUCUCCUUAUAUAGAAAAAGGCAAAGAAGGGUAGAGAGAGAUGGGACUAACAAGAAAGAAUUCAUAUAUUUUCUUCCAGUAUUAUAAGCUACUUCUUUUAAAAGAUUAUGUAUCUAUCAUUACUUUUACCUUGAGCUUUCAUCCAAUACACAAGUAAGUGAGCCAAUCCAG